rnacentral:ncRNA from 2 species
UACUUAUCUAGAGAGAUGGAGGGAAUUGGCCCAAUGAAGUCUCGGCAGCGGGUUCUAAGAACACUGUGCCAAAUCCAACAAGCAUGUUCGCUUGAAAGAUAAGAA